UUGCUCACUUCGGCAGCACAUAUAUGAGAAUUGGAAUCAUAUAGAGACAAUUAGCUUGACCCCUGUGCAGUAAUAACAUGAAUAUUCAUGAAUCAUCCGUAUUUUGU